CCUACGGGUGGCUGCAGUGAGGAAUAUUGGUCAAUGGACGAGAGUCUGAACCAGCCAAGUAGCGUGAAGGAUGACUGCCCUAUGGGUUGUAAACUUCUUUUAUAUGGGAAUAAAACGUUCCACGUGUGGGAUUUUGUAUGUACCAUAUGCAUAAGGAUCGGCUAACUCCGUGCCAGCAGCCGCGGUAAUACGGAGUAUCCGAGCGUUAUCCGGAUUUAUUGGGUUUAAAGGGAGCGUAGGUGGAUUGUUAAGUCAGUUGUGAAAGUUUGCGGCUCAACCGUAAAAUUGCAGUUGAAACUGGCAGUCUUGAGUACAGUAGAGGUGGGCGGAAGUCGUGGUGUAGCGGUGAAAUGCGUAGAUAUCACGAAGAACUCCGAUUGCGAAGGCAGUUCACUGGACUGCAACUGACACUGAGGCUCGAAAGUGUGGGUAUCAAACAGGAUUAGAUACCCCUGUAGUC
rnacentral:rRNA from 1 species